rnacentral:lncRNA from 1 species
CUCACUUUCUCACUUCCCGAACCCUAGGCUAAAACUCUAGGGAACUCACCGAAAACCUUGCACCCACUUUUCUUUCUUUUCUUUCUUUUUCUCUUGGAAGGAUAUGGACUUCCUUCUCACACACAAGACUUUUCACAUUCUAGAAUUUUUCUCAAAAAAUCUUCUUCUUGCAUGCCCCACUCUUCUCCUCCUUUUAUAACAACG